rnacentral:rRNA from 1 species
UACGUAGGGUGCAAGCGUUAAUCGGAAUUACUGGGCGUAAAGCGUGCGCAGGCGGUUCGCUAAGACAGAUGUGAAAUCCCCGGGCUUAACCUGGGAACUGCAUUUGUGACUGGCGGGCUAGAGUAUGGCAGAGGGGGGUAGAAUUCCACGUGUAGCAGUGAAAUGCGUAGAGAUGUGGAGGAAUACCGAUGGCGAAGGCAGCCCCCUGGGCCAAUACUGACGCCUCAUGCACGAAAGCGUGGGGAGCAAACAGG